rnacentral:rRNA from 1 species
GGCCUAAUACAUGCAAGUCGGACGGGAUCCGGUGGUAGCUUGCUACCAUUGGUGAGAGUGGCGCACGGGUGCGUAACGCGUGAGCAACCUACCUCUAUCAGGGGGAUAGCCUCUCGAAAGAGAGAUUAACACCGCAUAACAUCAACAGUUCGCAUGUUCGGUUGAUUAAAUAUUUAUAGGAUAGAGAUGGGCUCGCGUGACAUUAGCUGGUUGGUAAGGUAACGGCUUACCAAGGCGACGAUGUCUAGGGGCUCUGAGAGGAGAAUCCCCCACACUGGUACUGAGACACGGACCAGACUCCUACGGGAGGCAGCAGUAAGGAAUAUUGGUCAAUGGGCGGAAGCCUGAACCAGCCAUGCCGCGUGCAGGAUGACUGCCCUAUGGGUUGUAAACUGCUUUUGUCCGGGAAUAACCCCAGAUACGUGUAUCUGGCUGAAUGUACCGGAAGAAUAAGGAUCGGCUAACUCCGUGCCAGCAGCCGCGGUAAUACGGAGGAUCCGAGCGUUAUCCGGAUUUAUUGGGUUUAAAGGGUGCGUAGGCGGCCCAUUAAGUCAGGGGUGAAAUACGGUGGCUCAACCAUCGCAGUGCCUUUGAUACUGAUGGGCUUGAAUCCAUUUGAAGUGGGCGGAAUAAGACAAGUAGCGGUGAAAUGCAUAGAUAUGUCUUAGAACUCCGAUUGCGAAGGCAGCUCACUAAGCUGGUAUUGACGCUGAUGCACGAAAGCGUGGGGAUCGAACAGGAUUAGAUACCCU